UGAACAAUGAAUGCCAUUUUUUUCUGAAAAGUUGUUUAAGUUUGCGAGGCUUUAGAUAACUUUGUUUCUAUAGAAUGAAACGUUGUUCUUUCUAACUAGUGUUAUGUUUGCUUAGCAAUAAAAAGUGGGGACAAAUAAUAAACUAAGUUACUCUUUGCAAUUUAUUAACUUUAUGCUUAUAAUAUCCUGUUAUUAAAUCAAAAUAAGAUUCAAAUGCCACAUCGAUUUUAUAUAAAUGGUAUUCAAAUUUUGUAAUAUUUUUAGCUAGUCUGCCUGCUGAUAUAAUUCAUCUAGUUGUGUCCUGUUUUUUAUCAUAUAAAUGCUUGCCUAUAGAUGUAUAUCUUUUUUGUGGUAAAAAAUAAAUAUUGAAUAAUAAUUGAUUUACAACGACAUCGUCGAUAACACGUCAGCCGUAUUUAAUUUUGGAUGAAACGUAUGAAAUCAUCACAAUGAAUAAAUUAAUUUAUUAAAAAUAUCCAUAUACCUAUACGAUUCUGUUUAGACCAGUGAACUUUUUUAAUAGGAAUUUAAUAUACUUUUAUAGUAGGAAUUGGUAAUUUGUUUAAUUUAUUCAUAAAAUGUCGUAAAUUCAACGAGUUUUACACUGACAAACAAAAAUGUCUUAAGAUAAGAUUGGGGCUUAUUAAUUAGAUAGACGUACAAAAAAAGAAAAUAGGUAUGUACUAUUGAAAAAUAGAUGGAUAGGUGUUAUUUGUGAAGCGAUAUACGAUGGAGGAUUGUGCAAUAGAAACGGGUCAAAGUCACUAAAAUGUGUUGACCAACCGGAACUUUGUUUUAUGGCUCGUCUGGUGCAGUGGAAGAAAGAGAACAUUCCGAUUGAACCUGUCGGAAUUAUCUGGUUUGACGUGCCAUCCGCAGACUCACUGCCGAGGUACCUAUGGCUCAUUUACAACUUACCAAUUUAUAUUAUUGAUUACUUCUACAUUGACCCUAUAUUGACGCACAGCUCGUACAUGAGUGGACAGCGCGACAGGCAAGCGAUAUUAUGCAUUUAUAAUUCGAUCGAUAUUAUGGGCCGACGACACCCAUCAUAGUAUCAUUCCAUAAUAUUUCCAUAAUUAACAUGUUUGAUGUAACAGAUUGUUUCUCAAAUUGUGAUCAUUUACACUUUCAGGGUCUAACUAAUGGAGUUAUGAGUUUAUAAAUUAAUUUUAAUAUUGUUAUGGAGGUUAUUGGAACUGAUUGAUGGUGUUAUGUAUAAAGAUUUACUGUUAGUAAGCGGCUUAGAAAUUAAUACUUCCAAGUUAGGAAAUAUUUUUUAAACAUUUUGUUACGCGAGGUUUCUAUACCCAUUUGUUUAUUUAAAACUGGUUUUAUUCAGGAAAGUUAUGAUCAUUCAGAUUCUGUGCGAGUAAAAAUCAAAGCAAGUAAGGAGUUUUAAUUUAAGGAUACACAUUUUUUGUGAAGUUAGAAAGUCUUUCUCCGAAAACAGGCAUUGAAAUUCCUACUAAAUUAUCUACAAUUAAGCAAUUGAAUUUUAAUAAUCCAUUAACUUAAAGAAAAACAAACGAUAUGAUGCUACAUAAACCUAAUUGCUCACAUCACUUUUAGUACAGUUUUGUGAUUUGGUCACAUAAAGCCUAGGCGUCAAGCGACCCUAGAUUUCUUGUUAACACCGAGAUUUUACUCGCAA